UACGUAGGGGGCAAGCGUUGUCCGGAUUUAUUGGGCGUAAAGAGCGUGUAGGCGGUCAGGUAGGUCGGUUGUGAAAACUGGAGGCUCAACCUUCAGAGGUCGACCGAAACCCCCUGGCUAGAGUCCGGGAGAGGAGAGUGGAAUUCCUGGUGUAGCGGUGAAAUGCGCAGAUAUCAGGAAGAACACCCGUGGCGAAAGCGGCUCUCUGGGCCGAUACUGACGCUGAGGAGAGAAAGCGUGGGGAGCGAACAGG
rnacentral:rRNA from 1 species